GCGAGCGUGAGCUGACGUGGCGAUGGGUGCCGGGCAGCGAGAACAGGUUAGCGUCUCAAGGAUUCCUGAAAGAAGACGAGCAGGGGCAGAGCCACCUCCUUUGAGUAGAAGACCCAGGAACACAGAUAGAACCGUCUUGUAUAGUGUUUGAAAAUACGCGAGUGUCAUCGAUUUUUACAUACAACUCACGUCACAAAUACAAGAAAUGCGUGUUGGUGAGGAAA
rnacentral:lncRNA from 1 species